rnacentral:rRNA from 1 species
UUGCCUACGGGUGGCUGCAGUGGGGAAUAUUGGACAAUGGGCGAAAGCCUGAUCCAGCCAUGCCGCGUGUGUGAAGAAGGCCUUUUGGUUGUAAAGCACUUUAAGCGAGGAGGAGGAGCUUCAGGUUAAUACCCUGGAUGCUUGGACGUUACUCGCAGAAUAAGCACCGGCUAACUCUGUGCCAGCAGCCGCGGUAAUACAGAGGGUGCAAGCGUUAAUCGGAUUUACUGGGCGUAAAGCGUGCGUAGGCGGCUAAGUAAGUCAAAUGUGAAAUCCCCGAGCGUAACUUGGGAAUUGCAUUCGAUACUGGUUAGCUAGAGUAUGGGAGAGGAUGGUAGAAUUCCAGGUGUAGCGGUGAAAUGCGUAGAGAUCUGGAGGAAUACCGAUGGCGAAGGCAGCCAUCUGGCCUAAUACUGACGCUGAGGUACGAAAGCAUGGGGAGCAAACAGGAUUAGAUACCCUAGUAGUC